GGUUAAGCGACUAAGCGUACACGGUGGAUGCCCUGGCAGUCAGAGGCGAUGAAGGGCGUGCUAAUCUGCGAUAAGCGCCGGUAAGGUGAUAUGAACCGUUAUAACCGGCGAUACCCGAAUGGGGAAACCCAGUGUGACUCGUCACACUAUCAUUAACUGAAUCCAUAGGUUAAUGAGGCGAACCGGGGGAA
rnacentral:rRNA from 1 species